rnacentral:SRP_RNA from 1 species
GGUCGGGUCCUGUGCGACGGGCGUCCGGGAAUCAGGUCAGGGCCGGAAGGCAGCAGCCUUCAACGGUGCCGCCCUGUGCCACAGACCACCUGGCCGUC